GACGUAGGGAGCGAGCGUUGUCCGGAUUCAUUGGGCGUAAAGCGCGCGUAGGCGGUUUGGUAAGUCGGAUGUGAAAUCCCGAGGCUCAACCUCGGGACUGCAUCCGAUACUGCCCGACUAGAGGUAGGUAGGGGAGAUCGGAAUUCCAGGUGUAGCGGUGAAAUGCGUAGAUAUCUGGAGGAAUACCGGUGGCGAAGGCGGCAUCCUGGACCGAGAUUGACACUGAGGAGCGAAAGCCAGGGGAGCAAACGGG
rnacentral:rRNA from 1 species